UGGCAGGCUAGGUGGGUGGUUAGCCGUCACCUGUAACCUUAAAUCGGCUAUACGAAGGACUGAAGCCUUAGAGAGGUACUUUAUUGGAUAUUAGUCUCAGUUCCAACGUUGAGGCUUUGUCCUUCAGGGUUGGUACCUUUGUGAACCGGGUCAGGGCAGGAAUGCAGCAGCCCUAAGCACUGUUACUGGCGCUUGAAGGGUAGCGAAGCUGAGGAGGUUCUGAGGUUCAACUAAUGUUCUAUUCUGUAACCAUCCUUGACAUGCCUACCU
rnacentral:SRP_RNA from 1 species